GAUGAACGCUAGCUACAGGCUUAACACAUGCAAGUCGAGCGGAAACGGCAUCGAAAGCUUGCUUUUGAUGGGCGUCGACCGGCGCACGGGUGAGUAACGCGUAUCCCACCUGUUCAUCACUUGGGAAUAACCUUGCGCAAGUACGACUAAUGCCCAAUGCCAUCCCACGAAGGCAUCGGAAUGGGAUUAAUGAUUCAUCGGUGAUGGCUGGGGUUGCGUCUGCUUAGCUUGUUGGCGGGGUGCCGGCCCACCAAGGCAACGAUCAGUAGGUGUGCUGAGAGGAAGCCACCCUAGAAUGGAACUGAGACACAGUCCAAACUGGUACGGGAGACAGCGGUGAGGAAGAUUGGGCGAGGGAGGAUAGCCUGAACCAGCCAAGUAGCGUGCAGAAUGACUGCCCUAUGGGUGGUAAACUGCUUUGAUAAGAAAAUAAAGGGGGUCACGUGUGACUUUUUGCAGGUACCUUAUGAAUAAGGACCGGCUAAUUCCGUG
rnacentral:rRNA from 1 species